UACGAAGGGUGCAAACGUUGCUCGGAAUCAUUGGGCGUAAAGCGCACGUAGGCGGCUUCAUAAGUCGGAUGUGAAAUCCCUCGGCUCAACCGAGGAAGUGCAUCCGAAACUGCGAGGCUCGAGUAUGGAAGAGGGUCGCAGAAUUCCCGGUGUAGAGGUGAAAUUCGUAGAUAUUCGGAAGAACACCAGUGGCGAAGGCGACAUACUGGUCCGUUACUGACGCUGAGGCUCGAAAGCGUGGGGAGCAAACAGG
rnacentral:rRNA from 1 species